ACAUGCCUACAACAUAGAAUUCAUGAAAUGGAUCCCAAUAUAACUUCACAAUUAAGCGCGCUGAGGCUAGAGUAGUAGUGGGAUGGGUGACCACCCAAGAAGUUUUAGUGUUUUACAUGCC
rfam:Picea glauca, whole genome shotgun sequence.